CACCAAUCAGGUGCAGCGAUAGUGUUAACGCGGAGGAGUGGGAGCGGGUAAUUGCGGACCUGCGAGAGGCUGGAUGUAGUAUUUGGAGUGGUGUUUGGAGUCGUGGUCGGCUGAGGUUUACCAUCGUGAAGCCUAGUUUGAUUCUUAGAUGUUGCUUAGGAGUGUUGCAGGUGUUCUCUCCUUCCACCUCAAGGGCAGAAACUUUCAGCAGUGACUACUCCCCAGAGCUGCCUGGUGAGCAACACCCUCCAGUGUUACAGAUGAGGAAGCCAGGCAAAGUAAAUGGCACUCAAGAGCCCAGAAGAUGGACAUUUGGCAAGCCAUAAUAGACUGCUCCUUUCCCAGGUAUCUCCUGCUUGUUUCCUUUCUCUGUGAAUAGGAAAUGGCUUAAAGGCACCUGUGGGAUGAAGGUCCCGGG
rnacentral:lncRNA from 1 species